GAUGAAGAACGUAGCGAAAUGCGAUACUUGGUGUGAAUUGCAGAAUCCCGUGAACCAUCGAGUCUUUGAACGCAAGUUGCGCCCGAAGCCACUAGGCCGAGGGCACGCCUGCCUGGGCGUCACACGCCGUUGCCCCCCCAUCUACUCCUUCGGGAUUGCGGGGGGGCGGAUGAUGGCCUCCCGUGCGCCUAGCGGCGCGGUUGGCAUAAAUACCCAGUCCUCGGCGACGCACGCAACGACAAUCGGUGGUUGCGAAACCUCGGUUGCCCGUCGUGUGCGUUCGUCGCGCAUCGAGGGCUCGAAAAAAUGCUCGGCUCCGGCUGGGCUUUCAACGCGACCCCAGGUCAGGCGGGGUUACCCGCUGAAUUUAAGCAUAUCAAUAAGCGGAGGA
rnacentral:misc_RNA from 1 species